rnacentral:rRNA from 1 species
UACGAGGGGGGCAAAUGUUGUUCGGAAUCACUGGGCGUAAAGGGAGCGUAGGCGGGUUCUUAAGUUAGGUGUUUAAUCCCGGGGCCCAACCCCGGACCGGCACUUAAAACUGGGAAUCUUGAAUAGUGGAGAGGUCGGUGGAAUUGGGGGUGUAGCGGUGGAAUGCGUAGAGAUCCCCAAGAACACCAGUUGCGAAGGCGGCCGACUGGACACAUAUUGACGCUGAGGCUCGAAAGCAUGGGGAGCAAACAGG